rnacentral:rRNA from 2 species
UGCGUAACACGUGAGCGACUUGCCCGAUACAGGGAGAUAACCGGUGGAAACGCCGACUAAUAUCCCAUACGACUUGAGGCUGCAUGGCCUUGAGUUGAAAGGUUCGCCGGUAUCGGAUAGGCUCGCGGGACAUUAGCUUGAUGGCGGGGCAACGGCCCACCAUGGCGACGAUGUCUAGGGGUUCUGAGAGGAAGACCCCCCACACUGGGACUGAGACACGGCCCAGACUCCUACGGGAGGCAGCAGUGAGGAAUAUUGGUCAAUGGGCGGAAGCCUGAACCAGCCAUGCCGCGUGAAGGACUAAGGCCCUAUGGGUCGUAAACUUCUUUAGACGCAGAGCAAUAAGGGCCUCGUGAGGUCCGAUGAGAGUAUGCGUAGAAUAAGCAUCGGCUAACUCCGUGCCAGCAGCCGCGGUAAUACGGGGGAUGCGAGCGUUAUCCGGAUUUAUUGGGUUUAAAGGGUGCGUAGGCGGCGAAUUAAGUCAGCGGUGAAAGACCGGGGCUCAACCCUGGAAGUGCCGUUGAUACUGAUUGGCUAGAAUACCCUUGCCGUGGGAGGAAUGAGUGGUGUAGCGGUGAAAUGCAUAGAUAUCACUCAGAACACCGAUUGCGAAGGCAUCUCACGAAGGGGCGAUUGACGCUGAGGCACGAAAGCGUGGGGAUCGAACAGGAUUAGAUACC